AAUUUAUCAGCAAAUCCUGUUGACUCUACCUGUAAAGCAUAUCCUGACCCAUCCACUUUUUUCCGUCUUUACAUAAAACACCUGAAAUACAAGUCAUCAUUUCUUGCUUGAGUUACUGCAAUAGCUUCCCUCCUUCCACUGUUGUCUUUUUUUUUUUUUUUUUUUUUUUUAGACAUCUCCUGCUUACCAUCCUACAAUGGUUGCCUUUCACAUUUAGAAGGAAAUCCAUAUUCCUUAUUUCGAAAAAGUCCCACACAAGUUUACCUUUCUGUCCCCUCUUCCCUCUGCCCCACCCUCACCUGCUAGCCUAGGAACAUAAGCCGCCUUUGUUUCAAUACAGGAGCACCCAGAUUCAUAAAGCAAGUACUUAAAGACCUACAAAGAGACUUAGACUCCCACACAAUAAUAACGGAAGACUU
rnacentral:lncRNA from 1 species